AGUAAAAGUCGUAACAAGGUUUCCGUAGGUGAACCUGCGGAAGGAUCAUUACCGAGUGAGGGCCCUCUGGGUCCAACCUCCCACCCGUGUUUAUUUUACCUUGUUGCUUCGGCGGGCCCGCCUUUACUGGCCGCCGGGGGGCUCACGCCCCCGGGCCCGCGCCCGCCGAAGACACCCUCGAACUCUGUCUGAAGAUUGUAGUCUGAGUGAAAAUAUAAAUUAUUUAAAACUUUCAACAACGGAUCUCUUGGUUCCGGCAUCGAUGAAGAACGCAGCGAAAUGCGAUACGUAAUGUGAAUUGCAAAUUCAGUGAACCAUCGAGUCUUUGAACGCACAUUGCGCCCCCUGGUAUUCCGGGGGGCAUGCCUGUCCGAGCGUCAUUGCUGCCCUCAAGCACGGCUUGUGUGUUGGGCCCCGUCCUCCGAUUCCGGGGGACGGGCCCGAAAGGCAGCGGCGGCACCGCGUCCGGUCCUCGAGCGUAUGGGGCUUUGUCACCCGCUCUGUAGGCCCGGCCGGCGCUUGCCGAUCAACCCAAAUUUUUAUCCAGGUUGACCUCGGAUCAGGUAGGGAUACCCGCUGAACUUAAGCAUAUCAAUAAGCGGAGGAAAAGAAACCAACAGGGAUUGCCUUAGUAACG
rnacentral:rRNA from 1 species